GACGUAGGGCGCGAGCGUUGUCCGGAUUUAUUGGGCGUAAAGGGCGCGUAGGCGGCCUUCUAAGUCAGACGUGAAAUCCCCCGGCUUAACCUGGGAACUGCGUCUGAUACUGGAGGGCUUGAGUGCGGGAGAGGGAUGUGGAAUUCCAGGUGUAGCGGUGAAAUGCGUAGAUAUCUGGAGGAACACCGGUGGCGAAGGCGGCAUCCUGGACCGACACUGACGCUGAGGCGCGAAAGCUAGGGUAGCAAACGGG
rnacentral:rRNA from 1 species